AUAUUUACCUGGCAGGGAUGAUGCCAUGAUCGUGAAGCUGGUUUUCCCAGGGCGAGGCUUAUCCAUUGCACUCUGGAUGUGCUGACCCAUGCAUAUCCCCAAAUGUGGAAAACUGGAUUGCAUAACUUGUGGUAGUGGGGAACUGCAUUUACACUCUAA
ensembl:snRNA U1 U1 spliceosomal RNA